rnacentral:rRNA from 1 species
GUAAGGAAUAUUGGGCAAUGGACGCAAGUCUGACCCAGCCAUGCCGCGUGCAGGAUGAAUGUCCUAUGGAUUGUAAACUGCUUUUGUACGGGAAAAAACUUCCGAACGUGUUCGGAACUGAUGGUACCGUGCGAAUAAGCAUCGGCUAACUCCGUGCCAGCAGCCGCGGUAAUACGGAGGAUGCAAGCGUUAUCCGGAUUCAUUGGGUUUAAAGGGUGCGCAGGCGGAAAGGUAAGUCAGAGGUGAAAGCCCCCGGCUCAACUGGGGAACUGCCUUUGAUACUGCCUAUCUUGAGUACAGUUGAAGUUGGCGGAAUGUGUCAUGUAGCGGUGAAAUGCUUAGAUAUGACACAGAACACCGAUAGCGAAGGCAGCUGACUAAACUGUAACUGACGCUCAUGCACGAAAGCGUGGGGAUCAAACAGGAUUAGAAACCCCGGUAGUCC